GACUCCUACGGGAGGCAGCAGUGGGGAAUAUUGCACAAUGGGGGAAACCCUGAUGCAGCCAUGCCGCGUGUGUGAAGAAGGCCCUAGGGUUGUAAAGACUUUCAGUGGUGAGGAAGCCACAUGCUUAAUACGCAUGU
rnacentral:rRNA from 1 species